GCUCCGAUGACCUAGUGGUUAGAGCGUCCGCCUCGAAUGUGGGAGCUCUUGCGUUCGAUCCCCGGCCGAAACA